rnacentral:rRNA from 1 species
AUUGACCGCUGGCGGCAGGCCUAACACAUGCAAGACGAACGAGUGGCGGACGGGUGAGUAAUGUCUGGGAAAUUGCCUGAUGGAGGGGGAUAACUACUGGAAACGGUAGCUAAUACUGCAUACUAUCGGAUGUGCCCAGAUGGGAGUAGCUAGUAGGUGGGGUAAAGGCUCACCUAGGCGACAAUGCCUAGCUGGUCGGAGAGGAUGACCGGCCAGACUGGAACUGAGACACCGUCCAGACACCUACGGGAGGCAGCAGUGGGGAAUAUUGCACAAUGGGCGCAACCUUAGUGCAGCCAUGCCGCGUGUAUGAAGAAAUCCCACGGGUUGUAAAGUACUUUCAGCUGGAAGGCGUUACCCGCAGAAGAAGCACCGGCUAACUCCGCGCCAGCAGCCGCGGUAAUUC